rnacentral:rRNA from 1 species
GACAGAGGUGGCAAGCGUUGUUCGGAUUCAUUGGGUGUAAAGGGUCCGUAGGUGGCCCGGUAAGUCCGGCGUGAAAUCCCAGAGCUCAACUCUGGAACUGCGUUGGAAACUAUCGGGCUUGAGUGCCGGAGAGGUUAGGGGAAUUCCAGGUGUAAGGGUGAAAUCUGUAGAUAUCUGGAGGAACACCAGUGGCGAAGGCGGCCUUCUGGUCCAGUACUGACACUCAAGUGCGAAAGCGUGGGGAGCAAACAGG